UCCUUGUCGGGUAAGUUCCGACCUGCACGAAUGGCGUAAUGAUGGCCACGCUGUCUCCACCCAAGACUCAGUGAAAUUGAAAUCGCUGUUAAGAUGCAGUGUACCCGCGGCUAGACGGAAAGACCCCGUGAACCUUUACUAUAGCUUCACACUGGACUUUGACCUUACUUGUGUAGGAUAGGUGGGAGACUUUGAAGCGUGAUCGCUAGAUUGCGUGGAGUCAUCCUUGAAAUACCACCCUGGUAAUGUUGAGGUUCUAACUCUGUCCCGUGAUCCGGGACGAGGACCGUGUCUGGUGGGUAGUUUGACUGGGG
rnacentral:rRNA from 11 species